rnacentral:rRNA from 1 species
UUGGAGUGACGGAGACGGAUAGUGUGACCCUCUUAAUGGAUUGAGGGCGAAGCGAAGCGGCUGGUUACCAGGCAAAUCCGGUAACCUUAAGGCUAGAGCGUGACAGGUAAGCGAAAUCUAAGGAAAGUAGCGAAGCACAUGAUGACGGCUUCCAGGAAAAGCUUCUGGCAAUGCAUAUGCGGCCCGUACCAAAACCGACACAGGUGGGCAGGGAGAGAAUCCCGAGGUGAGCGAGAGAACUGUUGCCAAGGAACUCGGCAAAAUGACUCCGUAAGUUAGCGAGAAGGAGUGCUUAAGCAAUUAAGCCGCAGUGAAGAGGCCCAAGCGACUGUUUAACUAAAACACAGCUCUCUGCGAAGUCGCAAGACGAAGUAUAGGGGGUGACACCUGCCCGGUGCUGGAAGGUUAAGAGGAUCUGUUAAGAGCGAUCUGAAGCAGUGAUCCGAAGCCCCGGUGAACGGCGGCCGUAACAAUAACGGUCCUAAGGUAGCGAAAUUCCUUGUCAGGUAAGAUCUGACCCGCACGAAAGGUGUAACGAUUUGGGCGCUGUCUCGGCAGCAGACUCGGUGAAAUCUUAGUACCUGUGAAAAUGCAGGUUACCCGCAACUAGACGGAAAGACCCCAUGGAGCUUUACUGCAGCCUGAUAUUGAAUUCUGGUCAUACAUGUACAGGAUAGGUGGGAGACAAAGAGACGUGCACGCCAGUGUACGAGGAGUCGACGUUGGGAUACCACUCUUGUGUGACCGGGGUUCUAACCUGGUAUCGAGAACAGGUACGGGGAGAGUGUCAGGUGGGCAGUUUGACUGGGGCGGUCGCCUCCCAAAGAGUAACGGAGGCGCCCAAAGGUACGCUCAGAUUGGAUGGAAACCAAUCGACGAGUGCAAUUGCAGAAGCGUGCUUGACUGUGAGACAAACAAGUCGAACAGGGACGAAAGUCGGGAAUAGUGAUCCGGCGGUGCCGAAUGGAAGGGCCGUCGCUCAACGGAUAAAAGCUACCCUGGGGAUAACAGGCUGAUCUCGCCCAAGAGUUCACAUCGACGGCGAGGUUUGGCACCUCGAUGUCGGCUCAUCGCAUCCUGGAGCUGGAUUCGGUUCCAAGGGUUGGGCUGUCCGCCCAUUAAAGCGGUACGCGAGCUGGGUUCAGAACGUCGUGAGACAGUUCGGUCCCUAUCUGUUGUGGGCGAAGGAGAUCUGCGGAGAGCUGUCCUCAGUACGAGAGGACCGGGAUGGACCUACCGCUGGUGCACCGGUUGUUCCGCCAGGGGCAUAGCCGGGUAGCUAAGUAGGGAAAGGAUAAGCGCUGAAAGCAUCUAAGCACGAAGCCUACUCCAAGAUGAGAUCUCCCAUUCGCAAGAAGUAAGACCCCUUAAAGACGAUAAGGUAGAUAGGCCAGGGAUGGAAGUGCAGUGAUGUACGGAGUUGACUGGUACUAAUCGGUCGAGGACUUAAUC